rnacentral:rRNA from 1 species
GACGAACGCUGGCGGCGUGCUUAACACAUGCAAGUCGAACGGAAAGGCCCCUUUGGGGGUACUCGAGUGGCGAACGGGUGAGUAACACGUGAGUAACCUUCCCUUGACUUCGGGAUAACUUCAGGAAACUGGGGCUAAUACCGGAUAGGAAUCCUUGCUGCAUGGUGGGGGUUGGAAAGCUUCGGCGGCUUUGGAUGGACUCGCGGCUUAUCAGCUUGUUGGUGGGGUAGUGGCUUACCAAGGCUUCGACGAGUAGACGGCCUGAGAGGGCGACCGGCCACACUGGGACUGAGAUACGGCACAGACGCCUACGGGAGGCAGAAGUGGGGAAGAUUGCACAAUGGGCGGAAGCAUGAUGCAGCAACGCCGCGUGCGGGAAGACGGCCUUCGGGUUGUAAACCGCUUUCAGGAGGGGCGAAGCUUGUGGUGACGGUACCUGCAGAAGAAGCACCGGCUAACUACGUG